ensembl:lncRNA
GUUUAACACAACAGCAAGCACUCAGGUUUUUCAAGCCUAGACCCGGCUGGAUGAAAAGCAUUAAAGGGUGUGGACUCAGUCACAUAUGAACUAUAUAUGGCACAGGCAUUUUAUGGCAUAGAUCUGGAGGGAAGCUUCAGAAGACCAUGAACCAACCCCAAAGCCAAUGAAAUCCACUCCCUUCAAAUUGGCAGGCUCACAGCCGAUCCUACAGCAUAUAUAGCACAACUCAGUGCCUAAAAUACAGCUGUGAUAUUUACCUCUGGUGUUAACACACGAAGUGCAAGUACCUGAGAAUGAAGCAGAUUACCUGCAGCGUCGUCUUUCUGCAAGGUUGCCAUGUUUUCAAGCACUGGAAAAGUAUGAUAGAAUCAGCAAGGUUGGAAAAGACCACUAAGAUCACCUAGUCCAAACAUCAACCCUUCCCCACAGUGCGCACGGAACCACGUCCCUCUGUGCCACAUCUGCUUGUUUCUCGAGCACCCCCAGGGGCA